rnacentral:sRNA from 1 species
GUAGCACUGGAGGUCCAGUAGGCUUUGCCGGGGCCCUGAGGGGCGAGGGUGCCUGGGCUUCCCGUACCUUCCGCGGCGACUGGAGGGAGCCGGGCCGAGGAAGCGACCGCGGGUCCGUGAUGGCUUCUUCGCGGUCUGUGUGUUCACGAGGGCCGGGAAGAGGCCUGCGAAGGUUCUCGUUUGCGCUUGCGGGUUAGGGCUGUGGUCCGGGGAACCCCUGCGCAGCGCGGGCAGCACUGGUUCGCGGUUAAUCGGGGGAUGAGCGCGGAAGCCCCGCCGCAGGUCCAGCUGCUCGGCCGGGGCGAGACGGUGUUUUCGCGGCGUGUGCUUGGAGGAGCGCACAGUUCAGGCGCCGGGACAAGCUGUUGGGGUGUGAGUGAGCUCUCCAGAAUGGCACGUGGCUCCGGGGUGCCCGUGUUAAAAGGCAGGAUUUGCACACCUUCCACUUAGAGCUCGGGUAAUCGCAAACUUCCUCUCUUAAUUGGCUUGCAGUGCUAAAAAGCAGAUCCUUCUCUCUCAGGUUUUCCCAACACUACCUCAAGAAAAAAACAUCUGUUUUUUAAAACGUUCCACGGUAUUCGGAAUUGGCUACAGAACAUAAUAAAUAUUUCUACCCAUGGCAAAUUCCACUACACUGUCAAGGCUGAGAAUGGGAAGCUUGUCAUCAAUGGAAAUCCCAUCACCAUCUUCCAGGAGCAAGAUCCCACCAAAAUCAAAUGGGGUGAUGCUGAAGCUGAGUACGCCGUGGAGUCCACUGGCAUCUUCACGACCAUGGAGAAGGCUGGGGCUCACUUAACAGGGGGGAGCCAAAACGGUCAUCAUCUCUACCCCCUCUGCUGAUGCCCCCAUAUUCAUAAUGGGCAUGAUCCAUGAGAAGUAUGAAAACAGCCUCAAGAUCAUCAGCAAUGCCUCCUGUACCACCAACUGCUUAAUCCCCCUGGCCAAGCCCAUCCAUAACAACUUUGGCAUUGUGGAAGGACUUGUGACCACAAUCCAUGCCGUCACUCCUACCCAGAAGACUGUGGAUGGCCUCUGUGGGAAAUCGUGGCAUGAUGUCUGUGGGGCUCUCCAGAACAUCAUCCCUGCAUCUACUGGUGUCGCCAAGGCUGUGGGCAAGGCCAUCCCCAAGCUGAACAGGAAGCUCACUGGCAUGGCCUUCCAUGUCCCUUCUGCAGACGUGUUGGUUGUGGACCUGACCUGCCAUCUGGAGAAACAUGCCAAAUAUGAUGACAUCAAAAAGGCGGGAAGCAGGCGUCGGAGGGCCCCUCAAGGGCAUCUUGGGCUACACUGAACACCAGGUUGUUUCCUCUGACUUUAACAGUGAUACUCACUCUUCCACUUUCGAUGCUGGGGCUGGCGUUGCCCUCAGUGACCACUUUGUCAGGCUCAUUUUCUCGUAUAACAACGAGUUUGGCAACAGCAACAGGGUGGUGGCCCAUAGGGCCUCCAAGGAGUAAGACUGCUCGACAACCAACCCCAGUGAGAGCACAAGAGGAAGAAAGAGACCUUCAGCUUCUGGGCAGUCCCUGCCAUGCUCAGUCCUCCACCACACUGGGAAUCUCCCCACCUCACAAUUUCCAUGCAGACCCCACAAAGAGCGCUACCUUGUCGUGUACCAUCAAUAAAGUCCCCUGUACUCAAAAAAAAAAAAAA